rnacentral:misc_RNA from 1 species
UCUCAGGAGACAGGCUUUCAUCAG